CCUACGGGAGGCAGCAGUGAGGAAUAUUGGUCAAUGGGCGCGAGCCUGAACCAGCCAAGUAGCGUGAAGGAUGACUGCCCUACGGGUUGUAAACUUCUUUUAUAAAGGAAUAAAGUGAGGCACGUGUGCCUUUUUGUAUGUACUUUAUGAAUAAGGAUCGGCUAACUCCGUGCCAGCAGCCGCGGUAAUACGGAGGAGCCGAGCGUUAUCCGGAUUUAGUGGGUUUAAAGGGAGCGUAGAUGGGUUGUUAAGUCAGUUGUGUAAGUUUGCGGCUCAACCGUAAAAUUGCAAUUGCUACUGGCAGUCUUGAGUACAGUUGAGGUCGUCGGCAUUC
rnacentral:rRNA from 1 species